rnacentral:rRNA from 1 species
GAAAUUGCCCUGAUGUGGGGGAUAACCAUUGGAAACGAUGGCUAAUACCGCAUGAUGCCUACGGGCCAAAGAGGGGGACCUUCGGGCCUCUCGCGUCAGGAUAUGCCUAGGUGGGAUUAGCUAGUUGGUGAGGUAAUGGCUCACCAAGGCGACGAUCCCUAGCUGGUCUGAGAGGAUGAUCAGCCACACUGGAACUGAGACACGGUCCAGACUCCUACGGGAGGCAGCAGUGGGGAAUAUUGCACAAUGGGCGCAAGCCUGAUGCAGCCAUGCCGCGUGUAUGAAGAAGGCCUUCGGGUUGUAAAGUACUUUCAGUCGUGAGGAAGGUGGUGUUGUUAAUAGCAGCAUCAUUUGACGUUAGCGACAGAAGAAGCACCGGCUAACUCCGUGCCAGCAGCCGCGGUAAUACGGAGGGUGCGAGCGUUAAUCGGAAUUACUGGGCGUAAAGCGCAUGCAGGUGGUGGAUUAAGUCAGAUGUGAAAGCCCGGGGCUCAACCUCGGAACCGCAUUUGAAACUGGUUCACUAGAGUACUGUAGAGGGGGGUAGAAUUUCAGGUGUAGCGGUGAAAUGCGUAGAGAUCUGAAGGAAUACCGGUGGCGAAGGCGGCCCCCUGGACAGAUACUGACACUCA